rnacentral:tRNA from 1 species
GGGCCGGUAGCUCAGUUGGUUAGAGCGCGCGCUUGAUAAGCGUGAGGUCGGAGGUUCAAGUCCUCCUCGGCCCACCA